AGUGAACGCUGGCGGUAGGCCUAACACAUGCAAGUCGAACGGCAGCACAGGAGAGCUUGCUCUCUGGGUGGCGAGUGGCGGACGGGUGAGGAAUACAUCGGAAUCUACUCUGUCGUGGGGGAUAACGUAGGGAAACUUACGCUAAUACCGCAUACGAUCUACGGGUGAAAGCAGGGGACCUUCGGGCCUUGCGCGAUUGAAUGAGCCGAUGUCGGAUUAGCUAGUUGGCGGGGGUAAAGGCCCACCAAGGCGACGAUCCGUAGCUGGUCUGGGAGGAGGAUCAGCCACACUGGAACUGAGACACGGUCCAGACUCCUACGGGAGGCAGCAGUGGGGAAUAUUGGACAAUGGGCGCAAGCCUGAUCCAGCCAUACCGCGUGGGUGAAGAAGGCCUUCGGGUUGUAAAGCCCUUUUGUUGGGAAAGAAAUCCAGCUGGCUAAUACCCGGUUGGGAUGACGGUACCCAAAGAAUAAGCACCGGCUAACUUCGUGCCAGCAGCCGCAGUAA
rnacentral:rRNA from 1 species